CAGUCCAAAACGUUGGUCAUCUACCUGAGAAACACAUUAACAACAGGGAUCAGAAGAGCCUUUUGGCAUGAAGAAAAGAAUCCCGACAAAAGAACCCCGACUGGGCCCGGGCCGGGGCAGGGCCGGGAAGGCGCGGCGGGGCCUGCAGGGCGGCCGGCGGCCACAGGGGGGCUUCGUUCAGCCUCUCACAGAGGAGCGGCGGCGGCCGCUUGGCUUUCCCCCUCCCUCACGGAGGCUGUGCUUCCAGCGCUGGGUUAUCCCGUUCAUUCCAGGUUCUUAAAUUCUGCCCCCUUAACGCCGUUCAGGUUAAAGGCAGUUCAGCACAACUUGCCCUUUUCAUAAGUGUUGUGUUACCUUAAUAAAAAUGUGCUAAAAGCACUUACAGCCGUCCAGAAUUCUGGGGUACUGCUCUACUUUUUACUACCAACGGGUACUUCAACCAUUUAUUCCUUAAAUAAUUAGCCAUGAGAGUAAUCACAGAAUCAUAGAAUUGUUUGAGCUGGAAGGGACCCUUAAAGGCCAUCUAGUC
rnacentral:lncRNA from 1 species